GACGAAGGAUGCAAGCGUUAUCCGGAUUCAUUGGGUUUAAAGGGCGCGUAGGUGGCCUUGUAAGUCAGUGGUGAAAUCCUGUCGCUUAACGAUAGAAUUGCCAUUGAUACUGCAGGGCUUGAGUACAGUUGCCGUUGGCGGAAUAUGACAUGUAGUGGUGAAAUACAUAGAUAUGUCAUAGAACACCGAUUGCGAAGGCAGCUGACGAAACUGUAACUGACACUGAGGCUCGAAAGUGUGGGGAUCAAACAGG
rnacentral:rRNA from 1 species